rnacentral:rRNA from 1 species
UACGUAGGGUGCAAGCGUUGUCCGGAAUCAUUGGGCGUAAAGCGCGUGUAGGCGGUCCGGUAAGUCCGCUGUGAAAGUCGGGGGCUCAACCCUCGGAUGCCGGUGGAUACUGUCGGGCUAGAGUGCGGAAGAGGCGAGUGGAAUUCCUGGUGUAGCGGUGAAAUGCGCAGAUAUCAGGAGGAACACCCGUGGCUAAGGCGGCUCUCUAGUACGGUACUGACGCUGAGACGCGAAAGCGUGGGGAGCGAACAGG